CAAUAUAAGUGAUGGCGACCGGCGCACGGGUGAGUAACACGUAUCCAACCUGCCGAUAACUCGGGGAUAGCCUUUCGAAAGAAAGAUUAAUACCCGAUGGUAUAAUAAAACCGCAUGGUUUAAUUAUUAAGGAAUUUCGGUUAUCGAUGGGGAUGCGUUCCAUUAGGCAGUUGGUGAGGUAACGGCUCACCAAACCUUCGAUGGAUAGGGGUUCUGAGAGGAAGGUCCCCCACAUUGGAACUGAGACACGGUCCAA
rnacentral:rRNA from 1 species